rnacentral:lncRNA from 1 species
AGAGCAUUGUUGGGUUUGAGGUGAGUUCCAGGGCCAUGUCAACUUGCGCAAAUGUUUAUUAGAAUAUCUUAAACAUUAAGUUCGAAUGAAAAGAACAAAUACACUCGUAUAAUCUCGAUCUUUCUUAUCUUGUGCAGACUUCUGAUACUCAUAAGCAGAUGAUUGAAAUUUUGGUGAGUACCAGUUUCAUCACGCGGGAAUUCAUUUUGACUCCAUUACAGUUUGGUGUACCAUGUUCUAGACCGCAUUAUUUUUGCCUGGUAAUUCUUUUAUCUGUCUCUCUUGUACAUUGUUACAUAACUUUUAGGUAGUGUUUCUUUCAUUAAGCAUUAAGCAUUAAGUGCUUCUUAAGUAGUGGACCAGGUUAAAAUUCAGAAAUAAGUGUUUUUUAAGUUGUUUGUUUAGAACAAGCAUUAAGAACUAAUUGGGAUAUUUCAGCGAUUUUAGACAAUUCUACCCUUAUAAAAAUUGUUUUUAUCAUCUAUAACCAUUAAGUAAUAUCACAGUCAGAUUCAUUGGCUUAGUUAAUGGCCUUUCCUUUGUCUGAUCACUUUGAAUUUUACCAUAAGUUCCUGAAGAUUUCUGUUAUAUCAUAUCUAAAAUUUAGAAUUUUUAGACGAUCGGUUUGAAAGUUACAGAUUUUUUUGUGGUUGUUAUGUUUUACAAGAAAAAUUACGUUACAGUCAGAUUCGUUUGCUUAAUAAGGGGACUUUCUUUUGUCUGAUCACUUUAAAAGUUUUACUAUAUGUUCCUGACGAUUUCUAUUGUAUCAUAUCCAAAAUUUAGAAUUUUUAAACGAGUCGUUUGAAAGUUACAGAUUUUUUUGUGAUUGUCAUGUUUUAGAAGAAAAAUUACAGUCAGAUUCGUUUGCUUAGUAAGGGAUCUUUCCUUUGUCUAUUCACUUUGAAAUAUUUUCCAUAUGUUCAUGACGAUUUCUGUUGUACCAUAUCCAAAAUUUAGAAUUUUUAGACGAGCCGUUUAAAAGGUUAAGAUUUGUUUUUUAAAUAUCAUGUUUUAGAAGAAAAAUUGGCGUGUAUAGUUUUGUUGUUAGAACAUUUUUCUGUUUGUACGACGUAACAAUAUAGUGUAGUUACACAAAUAUUUUGGCUAAGGGUGAAACAUUCUCAUCUGAAGCACAACACUGAAUGGUCAACUUGCGCAACCAGAGUGCAAAUCAACUUUAGGUUUUUGGGUUAUGUGAUAAGGUACUGUGUAUUGUCAAAAUACUUUUCCAAUAAUAGGGUAACAUGGUCAAAAUCACAGUUAUGCAUAAACAAACAAAUCAAAAACAGAACUUCUUAAAAAUGAUAACCAAACAACUUUUCCAGCAUUCAGUGUUCAGCAUCCAGCAUUAAGUAUCCAGCAUUAAGCAUCCAGCAUUCAGUAUCCAGCAUUCAGCAUUUUAAACAAACACACCCUUAGUAUUCAUGUAAUUCUAAAUUUUUAUUAAGACAUUUUGAGUUACAUUUAGGGCAUUUUCUGUUUCCGGUUGGAUUUAGUUCCUUAGCCUUGACCUCUCUAUCAACCACUUACCCAUAAAUAUAUUUGCAUCAGAUGUCAGUUUCUGAAGAUCGGAUGUAAGUCUCACAUUAACAUCGGAAGCUCUUUUAUCCCGAUCAUAUUUUCUCAUGUGACUUAUUACAUUCGAUUAUCUGUCUUAAACUGAACUUGUCUGGCUUCAGUUCAUUCUAUCUAUAUGGUUUUUAGUUCUGUAUCAACUACAACUUUAUCAUUAUUCUGUGAUUUUACUGAGUCGAACCAUGUAAUGCUGAAAACAUCUUGAACCUUUGUUUGAAUAGUAGUCCACCUAUUAAAAGUUGGGUCCAAAGAUAGCAUGUGGCACUGCUGCAAAUAGAGAGCAAAUGCAAGAUCUCUUUGACGAAACGAUGUAAAACUAAGUAGCUCAGCUAUCUUCAUUAGAACUGGAUGUUGCUCGCUUAUGUUGUUUGUAUUAUUUUUCGAUUUAUCUUGACCAUACUGAUAGUGAGCUUUACUUUGUUUUUGCUAAACAUGUAAAUUUCAUUGAUAAAAAAGAACCAAUUACAACCAUACUUAUCACAUAUUAGUAAACCUGCAGUACAUAGAAUCUGGAGAUUCCAGCCUAUUAAGCCAUUGAGGCCUUCCCUCCCAGGAAGCCAAUGUGCCAUCUUGAAGACUAGCUCCUUUCUUAGCUGAAAUGUCAGCUGCAAAAUUAGCUUCCCUCCAUGUAUGGCAGAUCUUCAGUUCUUUCUUUUUCUGUCUCACCUUUUUCCAUCUAACUGUGAGUUGCCAAGGGACUUCAUUCUUCUGUAAAGCUUGAACCGUUGCUUUGCUGUCAGACUCCAACAGAAGACAAUCCCAUCCUCUUUCCAACCCCAUUUCAAUGCUUUCAAUGGCUCCUUGAAUCUCAGCCAUGUAAUUUGUUACAAUACCCAGACCCUUGCAGACUGUAAGAACAACUGAGUUCUGUGCAUUCCUGAAAACAGCUCCUCAACCUGCCUUACCUGGGUUACCACGGGAUGCUUCAUCAACAUUAAUCUUCAACAUGUGUGGUUCAGGGAGGAUCCAAGAACACUGCUGAAUAUUAGGAGCUGGUGGAGGCCUAAGGGGAAUCUGCCAUUCCCUUGUGAUCAUCAGCUCAUCCAAAUUGUUAUGGCAUGUAAGCUUUGAGAGUCUAGCUGUUAGCUUUACCUGUUCUUUAAUGUAUGUCUCACAAAACUUCAAGUUCAGCUCACUCUCUUCAUGCACCACCUUGUUUCUUAACUUCCAAAUUGCCACCAUAACUGACCACACUGCAGUGUUCCAUAUAGUCUUGAUCUGGUUGCUCAUAUGGUUCAGCUUUCUCAACGCUUCUUCAACACAUAUAAAGUCAUUCCGAAUACCAAACUUUGCACAAACCCAACUCCACAACUGUUUUACCACCUCACAAUGCCAGAAUAGGUGAUCACUAUUCUCCACAGCUGAAUGACAAAGAGGGCACCUAGAGGCCAGAGGAAUGCCUCUUUUCAAGAUGUUGUCCAUAGUUACAAUAGCGUUAAGGUGAAUCUUCCAUGUUGUUGCAGACUGUCUUGGGUGCAUGUAUUUGCUCCAAACCGAGCCACUCCAUCCCACAACUGAAUGUUUUUUUCUGAUUUCCUCAAAAGCUGACUUAGUGCUGAACUUCCCAUGAGGGUCUGGAGUCCAAACAACUGAAUCAGAUUCUGAAGAAUUAGGAGACUGUCUAUGAUCCACUUGAAGUUGAGCUUUUUCAAGAAUCCAUUGAAGUUGAACCGGAAUGCUCCAUUCUUGACCGUGCACAACUGAACUGACCUUAGAAGAGAAGCCAUGGAUUUGAGUUGUGAGCUGAAGUCUUUGCUGAACUGAUUCUCCUAACCAGUUAUCCCUCCAAAGGUCCACUGACUUCCCAUCACCUACAAUCCAUCUAACCCUUGACUUAAUUUCUUGGAUGGCCCACUUAAGUCCAGGCCAUAUUGUGGAGUGCUUAUAGUAUUUAAUGAGUUCUCCAUUCUUGUCAAGAUACUUGUGUCUAAGAUAAUUCACAAAGUACCCUUUCCCAGAAAUGAAAUUCCUAGCUUGUUUAAGUAACAUGGCUUUGUUAAUCUCUCCCAACCUUCUGAUAUUUAAACCCCCUUCCUUGUAGGGUUUGCAAACCUUCUCCCAAGCAACUGUGAUACCUUUUAUCUUUGUGGGGUUGCCUGUCCACAAGAAAUUCCUCAACAAAGCUUCAGCUUCCUUCACAAUACUGCUUGGCCAUUUAUAAACUCCCAUAUUGUAAAUUGGAAUACUAGAGAGCACUGAUCUGAUCAUAGUGAUCCUCCCUUGAAAGGAUAGCAAUCUUCCACCCCAACUUGUAAUACUGCUUGGCCAUUUAUAAACUCCCAUAUUGUAAAUUGGAAUACUAGAGAGCACUGAUCUGAUCAUAGUGAUCCUCCCUUGAAAGGAUAGCAAUCUUCCACCCCAACUUGUAAUCACUGACUUUAUCUUGUCAACAAUAAUACUGGUUGCCCUUCUAAUGACUCUCCCUUGCAAGAUGGGCACCCCCAGAUAAGUAUCCGGAAAAGUACCAAUAGGCAUUUGAAGGCAUUCCUGAAUUCUGAGUUGUCUGGCUGCAUUAACUCCUCCUAAAAAGAUUUUACUCUUCACCACACUAACAGUCUGUCCUGAAGCUCUUUGGUAAACUAGAAGCAACAUCUUGAGGUUCUUGACUGCUUUAAUGUUUGCAUUGAGGAAGAUGAACAAAUCAUCGGCAAACAUUAAGUGACUAGGACUAGGAUGUCCAUUGUGACAAGACAUAGGCUGAAUAAGAUUCCUCUCUCUGUACUGAUGAAGACUUUUACUGAGAGUGUCUUGUACAAUUGCGAAGAGAAGAGGAGAAAGAGGGUCUCCCUGCCUGAGACCUCUCCCCAUAUUGAAGAAGCCACAUGGGCUCCCAUUAACUAAGAUCGACAAUUUAGUAGUUUUAUUCAGGAUCUCCACCCAUUUUAUCCAUUUGUUGCUAAAUCCUUUUCUCACCAAAACUUCAUGUAAGAAAGUCCAGCUGACUGUAUCAUAGGCUUGAGUAAUAUCAAUCUUCAACCCCAUGUUACCACCAAAACCUUUUCUCCUCAUAUCAUUGGCUAGCUCUGAAGCCAUACCAAUAUUAGAUUGAAUAUCUCGACCAGGAAUAAAACCAGUUUGCUCCUCUGAGAUGAAAUUUGAGAUGAUGGAAUUCAACCUUAACUGUAAGAGCUUGGACAUAAUUUUAAUCACAAAAUUGCUCAUGCAGAUAGGUCUUAGAUGAGACAUUCUCUUAACAUUCUGCUGCUUAGGAAUAAGAGCGAUAUGACAAGAAUUCAUACCUCUUGGCAGGAUGUUUUGAGUGAAGAAAGAUUGAACAGCUCUGCAGGUGUCACUCUCCACAAUCUUCCAGUGCUUCUGAUAGAACAUGCCCUGGAACCCAUCAGGACUUGGUGAACUGUCCUCAUUCAUAGAAAAAACAGUAUCCUUAAUUUCUCUCCAAGAAGGAAUCAUAUCAAGCAUUUCACAGUCUUCAAUUGACAAAUCCUUGGAUAUCAGUUCCAACAUUCCUGCAUCCAUGUCCACUGGUCUCUCUUUGUAUCUUUCCUCAAAAAACUGAACAACAUAGCUUUGAAUGUCUUCCUGCUCAGUUAAGAGAACACCUUCUUCAGUUUCUAACACUGUUAUGAUGCUCUUACAUUGUUUGAAAGCAUAAAGAGAGUGGAAGUAGGAAGUGUUCCUAUCACCACAAACCCAAUACUUCUCCCUGCUUUUCUGCUUGUACAUCACUGAUUUAUCAUGGAGAAUGCCUUCCAAUAACUCUUCUUUCUCUUGAGCUAAUUUUGACUGUAGCUCAUCCUCUAUAUUGUUAUCUGACAGCAUUUGUAGAGCCUGUAAUUCUGUUUCUACCUUUCUUUGCUUCACUUCAACAUGCCCAUAUACAUCCCAGUUCCAGUCUUUCAAAACCUCUUUCAACCUCUUCAACUUCAUAGCUAUCUUCCAUAAGUGAGGAGCCCUCAAAUCUUGCUUCCAACUAUGCUCUACAGUAGUAUACAAAUUCUCAUGAUCCAACCACAUUUUGUUGAAUUUAAAUGGGCAAUUCACAGGUUUGGGGAUGCUAACUUGUGACCCUAGAAGAGGCCCAUGAUCAGAAGUUUGCCUGGUUUCGACCUUGUACCUCCACCCAGGAAGAGCAUUACACCAAGAUAAGUUAGUAAAGCAUUGAUAGUGAGCUUUACUCCCAUCCAAUUUUUUUUUGGCAAAACUAAGCUCAUGCCCGCGCCCAACCUGGAUUAUUAUGGUGGGCCUAUGACAUGUCCAUUGCUAACAAAAUGAGCGGCUAAGUCAGUCCAAAAGAUCCAAUAUGAACCAAUAGAUUGGCUCAUUUUGUAAAGAAGAUUUUCCAUAUUUAAAACUUAUAUUGUUAUAGUUGCACUUCUCAUUCUAGAAAAAUCAUUCCUAUAUUUGGAAUACUAGGUAUUAUAGAUUGAUUAGAUUCUGUUGAAUCCUAUAGACUUUGAGGCUCUUUUUUGUAACGUUUAUGUAUCAUUGCCAGUUUUUAAUGAAAUCUUGCAUACUAUAUAUAUAUAUCAACAAUUUCAAAAUGAUAUGAAAUUGGCAUAGGCCUAUGUAACAGCUCCACUCAAGUCCAGCCUGCUUAUGUGCUCAGGAGCAUAAAAAAACUCAUUCAGAAAACAAGAAAAGCUGUAUGAGUUUUAUCUGAGAUGGAUGGACCUGUGGUCCCUUUUUCUAGAACUUAAUGGGCUAGGUUUUCGGUACCGUCUGCAGUCUACCAUUGAAGAGGGUGGAACACAAAUUCACCAUUUCUGCUUUCCUUAAAAUCUCCUGGGAGAUGAUGUAUAAUAAAUAUAUACAAAUGAUUUUGUAAGGGAGUUGUCGUAAGAAUCCAUUGGACUUUUUUCCUUAUGAGUUAAGUAAUUAUUGUUGGAGAAAAAAGAGAGGACAGACCUUUAUGUUCUCAUUUGUUGUACAAGUCUCUGUCGUAUUCUGUUGUGUGUAUAAGAUUUAUGAACUAGUCCAUUAGAAGCUAUAACCACUUAAAUUGGCAUGCCAUGAACGUGAGCAUGUCAAAAGUGACAGCUUACUGAUUUUUCCUUUUGCCAUAUCAAAUUACCCUGGUCAGUCGCUGUAAGUUUAUAUUGUAAUUGACCCACGGUUUAUCUAAAGUUUUAAUUGUUUUAUUCGAGGUGGUUGCUAGAUCAUAUUGUUUUGUUGGUUCAGUUUUCUGUAGCAAACAACAAUGCAUCAUUUUCUUAUUCUGUGGAUGUUCUAAGAUAUAGAAGAUUCUUGUUCCCCAACAAGGUGGUUACACCAACAAAAGCCAUUGUCAAAUAAAUAGUAGUACACUAUCAAACUCUGUUAUUGCUUUUCAAAUAGUUUUUUGGCUUUCCUUUGUGUGCAUUAGUGGAUGUAUAUGACUACAUAUUAGUUCUUUGGCUUUCCUUUGGUUUUUUUGAUAAUCAUGAAUUCAUGUUGCUAUAUUAUCUUAUAUUCUUGGAAACUAUUGCAGGUCUAUUUACUAAAACCUGGAAACUCUGCUCAAAAGUUCAAUGGAUGAGGACACUUAUUGCUUAGUCUAUUAGUUGAGUCUCAUAUUACAUUUGCAUGAGCAUAAGCACGAUAUCUUUUUGCAGUGACGACAAAGCCUUGAGCACUUGCA